AGAGUGUUAAUUAUAAUGAAGCAAAACAGUGGAUCUAGCAAUGGAGUGAUAACAUUUCGUAAAGUGGUAUUUAAUUCCACUAGUGACUCCAGUGUUGCUUCUGGAAUAGCAAAUGGCUCCAUGACAUAUUCUGGGAACAUUACAACAUCUCAAGCUGUAAAUAAUGGAGUACUAAUGCAGAGUGUUGCUGGAGUUGCUUCGAAUGGCUCAUUAAUGCAUUCAGUGAAUGGCAGUGGAGCAAUCAGUUGUGUCAAUUCCAAUGUUGUUAAUGUUGGAGCCAUGUUGGCCAACACCAAUAAUGGAGUGGUUACCUCAGUUACUGGUAGCUUACCUUCCUUCACUGCUAAUGGCAUUUCUACCAUUGCUUCCAAUGGGGUUCUUCAAACCAACUUAGCCAAUGGCAAUACAAUUAUUAGAGCCCAAAAUGGCAAGAUGAUCACAACUUCCAAUAUUGUAGGUGCUGCUCCUGCAACUAAUGUCCCAACUAUGGGUAAAUUGUGCCUUACACAGCAGCAGCUGCAAAAGUUGUUAGAGCAACAGUUACAGCAGCAACCUCAGCUAGGGUCUCAGCCUCAGAUCAUCAGACUUCAAAAUCCUCAACAGCAACUAAUUCGACUUCAACAGCAACCACAGCAAGUUCUCAGACUCCAGCAGCCAACACAAACUCAGAUCAUUCGUAUUGCUCCCAACAACAAAUUACAUCAGGGGCAUCAGCUACCUGAUGGUAGAAUAAUUAUCAAUCAGCCUUUCCAGAUAACAGCUCAACAAUUGCAGCAACUUCAACAGCGUCAACAAACUCCUAUUGCAAUACAAUCCCUUCAGUUGCAACCACAGCAGCAACAAGUUGUUUUACCUGGCGUUCAGCUUGUGUCAAUUGCAAGUGCUCAUGCUUUGUUGGAGAAGCAACAGCAGCAGCAGUCUAUGAAUGUCACCAAUCAAGUUGUUGCAACCACUAGUCAACAAAUAGGUGGAUCUCAGCCACAGCUUCACUUACAAGCUAUUCAACCCCACCCACAAAUAAUUUCAGUUUCACAAUCCCAACAAUUAUUAUCAGCAAUUUCUAAUGUGGCUAGCAUUCCUAACUCGGUCGUCCAAUCAAAUUGUGUGUCUGUGAAUGGCACAGCACCUUCAGCACCUGCUAUUAUGCCCUCCAAUAAUGUUCAGAGCAAAGAGAGUGAUAUGCCAAGCUUUCAGUCCCCCCUUGCUGAGGUGGAAAUGAAUGUUCCUUCAACUAAUCAAGAUAGUGAGUUGGAUGGAGGUAAAAAUUGUCAACUGACCAAUGGUGCUGCUGUUGAGGCUCAGGAAAACACUCAGCCUCAGACCUCUUCUCCAGAAAUUCAUCAAGAUGAUGAUGAUGAUGACGAUAUUCAAGAAGUUGGCCAGGUUAUCAACACAACCAGUAAUGGUUUUCUGUCAGGCACUGAAAAGACUGCAGAGUUGGAGAAGAAAGAAGAUGCUGGUGGUGGCGGUGAAUCAGACCCUGGAGUUAUUGACAUUGUCAUCAACAAUGUUGUGUGUUCGUACUCUGUUGGGUGCCAUAUAAACUUGCGGGAAGUAGCUACAAAUGGCAAUAAUGUGGAGUACCGGCGAGAGCAUGGGAUGGUGACGAUGAAGCUACGCAAACCCCCCACGACAGCUUCCAUCUGGUCUUCUGGCAAAAUUACCUGCACAGGUUCAACAUCAGAAGUCGAGGCACGCACGGCCGCUCGUCGCGUGGCUCGCGCUCUGCAAAAGCUUGGCUGCAAGACGCGCUUCAAGAACUUCCGUGUCGUCAACGUUCUCGGCACAUGUACCAUGCCCUUCGCCAUUAAGAUCACGCCCUUCUCACGGCAGCACCGCAACAGUGCAAGUUAUGAACCAGAGCUCCACCCUGGCGUUACCUACAGAAUUCCUCACCCUAAAGCAACCCUCAAAAUAUUCUCGACUGGCAGCAUAACAGUCACUGCACCGAGCAUCGCUAACGUGCAGGCAGCCAUCGAGCAUGUGUAUCCUCUGGUGAGCGAGUUCUCCAAAGAACGCACGGCCGAAGAGGAGGCGCGACGUAGCGCGACCAGCGUCGCAAACCACGCCGUGCGACAUCGACCCGUUGGCUUCUCUCUUGAUGAAGAUGAAGAAGAGGAACCUGGUGUGGGGCCGCCUUCCUUCAUAGAUGAGUUUCCUGACUCGCCACCAUCAUUCAUGAAGCGCAAGCGUAGCGAUUUGUCUUUCGGGAACGACAAUAAGCUUAGAAAAUUAGGUCCUAUUGAUCUUGUGUCUGACGACUCCGAUGAUAGUUCUGAUGAUAUGGAAGACGUCGAUGACGGAUUCUCUUGAACUUCAUAAGUGAACUAGUAUUUACUCCUUCUUGUGGCUUAUAAAGUUUCUUGAAGGUUCAGCUUAAUGAACAAAUAUCUGCCCAUUAAUGAUGACCAACUAGCGCAACAAUGUGUAAAGCAGUAUCAAUCCAUAUUCACGUUAAAACGAGAACUAAACUUCACGAGAACUCCUCGAAUUUAUCAGUACUCACAAUCAGUCUCGAUUUGCCCCUGUAAUUUGGGACAAUUUUUGCAGCAUUUUGGUAAUGCUGCAACUUUUCAAGAAAUUGUAGGAAUCCAGCUGUUUGUGUGCCUAUUGUUCCUAUUUUGCAACGGAAUGGUGUCGUUGCUUUUCUUCAUGUGGAUGGAGUCAUGGGGAUCAAUAAUGUCUGUUUUUCUACCAUUAUCUGUCUCAAGUUCAUGUUGGAACAUAACUUUGUUUUUUUCGUAAUUAACCUCUUUACUCGUUUUUAGCGAUUGACUCGAUAGUCGUCUGGUGAGAUUAUUUUGUAUCCUGUCCUUACUAUUACGAUUCCUUUAGAUGUUCACGAGCCAAAGUUCCCUUAAGUUACACAGUGAAUUUGGUCGAGUGGAAAAGCAGUUUUUGCUUUAAGUAGUCUGGUACGGCACGAUAAAAUGCGAGAUGCUUUCUUUGAUCAUGCCCAUAGCAAUUUAUUGAACGGUCCUUUGAUUAUUAGAAAAUUUUCACUUCCAGUGACCAUAAUCUCGGCACAUAGUUUUUUUCAUUUCAAGAUUGCUCGACCGUCUUCAGUCCCCAACACUUGUAAACUUUGCUGGAUUUAAAAAUCGAUUCAACUUUUAGCUUUUCAGAUCAAGACUGCUACUGGAUUGUAAAAUGAUUGUUAUGUUCUGGUUUUGAUUAUUCACGCUAAAGAUAGACAACGUGAUGUGACUUUUUCUUUGGCUAAUUAUUGAAACGAAAGUGUCAAAUUUUUUGUCGUAACGCAAAACUGGUUAUUGAUACACAGAUUUCCAUUCGAUUUUGUUUGAGAGAAAUCGUUGCUUCUCUCACUUGUUUUCAGGAAAGGACUACUUGCCAUUCUUGUAAAUUUAUCCUUUUUCUUCCCCCUAAGUUGUUCCUAGCGAAUAUUUUCUUAUUCCAGAUCUUGAAUUCAUUACCAAAAAUUAUUUUCGUCCACCAAACUGCUCCAACUGUAAACUAAUCAUUAGCUAGGUUAGUGCCAAACCAGUGCUGAGUUGCGGUAGAACAAUGUGAUGUAGUGUGCUCUGUAAGUUGUUAUUUAUUUGAUUUCGUUUCAAUUGGUUACACAACGAGUGCAAGUUUCUAAUCUGCUAGCUCUUCUUCUGCAUAAAAGCUGACUGAAUUUACGCUGGUGCAAUUCAUUCAUGUGGUGCAUGAUUAAAUGGGUUGCACUUUAUCCAACACUUGUAAGUAAUUACCAUCGAAUUGGGUUGUUCGUAAAUUUCCACUUGCAGAAUGUUAGCAAGAAUAUUAGAGCGCCUGGAAUGAGCUGUAUUAAGCCUUCGGUAUCCUGGCUGCUGUGACGGCCCGCGUUACACUGGAAGUUUAGGGCAUGUCCAUUGUCCAGUCUAUAGGAGCAGACAUGAUGGGUAUUCUUCAUUGAUGUUGUGGCUGGAGUAAAUCGUUAUUCUAGUUUUAUUUAAUUUUAAUUUCCGUUGUUGCUUCUAUUAUUAGAAUUUCCCAUUCGUUUUGCUCGGUUGUUUAAUCACCUUCCUUGAUGUGUUUGCACAUGUGAUUUUAAUGUUUCACUUUGAUCAAUAAUUUUUAUCAUUCUAAUCUAAAAGACAAUGUUAACUUUUUUGUCAACCCUUGGCAUUGGUUGAUGAAUCAACUUGUUGGCUGCACACUUGCUAUGCUGAGUUCACGACUCAUUCGUGAAUGUUAUAGUGUUAACUUCGCCUUAUAAUUCUGUAAAUUAUAUCAAUGUAUCAAUGUGAGGUCAGUAAAUUGUGCAGCCAUCAAUAUUUAACGCAGGUAUUUAUUGUGCCAAUAUUGGUCACGUCGUAUUAAAUAACUGAUAAUAGUUUCACCGAUAAUACAGAUUUAUAUCAAAUCGUAUUAUGAAUACUUCAUCUAAUAACAAUGACUAGCACCCAUCACAGCGAAAUCGUGUGUUGCACGUUUGUUCCACGCUCAACAGAAUUCCUCUUAUAUUCAUUUUCAGAAUAGUUGCGAACUUGAAUUGAUAGUAUUAUUUGUGAACUGUGAGAAGGGAGACUGUAGUAAGUUUGGAAUAGUGAAAACAAAUUUUUUCAUUGUCCACUGUGUUUGCUUCAAAAUGUUAAACUUGUGUUUUCUGGCAAGAUUAUGAGAAUUUCGGUGUGAUAAUAAGGGCUUUAAAACAAGAUGUUAACUCGCGUGAGCGAGUGCCUAGCUACUGCUAUGCUGCCUAGAUUUUGUGUCGCGCGUAACAGUAAAACUCUUAUGCUUCCUCAGAGCUCGUCAUUAUUUCAUUGAUGUUUUUCGUGCAUAGGUAUUAUCUCAUUUCUCUCACGCGAUUCUCGACUGUCACUAAAUCUGUAGCUAAAAAUCGUUUUGCUUAUUAACGGAAUUAUUUAUGUUUUUGCAAGUCAUCCGUUAGCCUUACUUGUCCGCAUUCGCUCAGGAAUCCAUCUUGAGGAAAAAUGGCAUAUCAGUAUCAGGAAGAUUUACUUAUACUAAUACGUGCACAAUUUUAGGUAUAAAAAUUGAAGUGUUUUGGUGAACCGCUGCGGUUGGAUUUUGGUGUCUUUGUGAUGAUUUAAUAAGUAAAUUAACUGUGUGAUUAAAUCCUCUGCACGAGCCAACAUUUUUGCUAUGGUUGACCGAAAUAAUUUUACUAAUAAAAGCAACGCAGUGAGCGAAAUAAUAAAAAGUAUUUGGUUAUAAUAAUAGAUCAAUUGGAUAAGAUCACGUCCCCCUCUUGCCUGGAGUUGACGCGUACUGGCUGUUUGAAGCGAUCCUUGCAUAGCGGCUGUGAACGUGACUUCCCGUGUUAGCUGAGCGUCUUUAAUAGCUUGCGCUCCUUGGUAUACUUGGUAUUUGUUACGGACGUAGCAGUCCCAGGCCACGAUGGAUCGCCGCCUCCCGGUCUGCACGCUUUUCCGCAUCUAAAUAGACCGAGGAAAAUAUAACUUUUUUCGCAUUUAUAUUAUCUUGGAGUCUGUCUUCUUCUAAUCCGUUUUGCUCAAAUUGAUCUAUAUUGUUGAGUUAAAUGGCUGAAAUUUGUUUCAAGAUCAAUAGAACAAUUGCUAAUAACUCAUAUUGAUUUUAGUAAUGUUUACCUGUUAUUUUUUAGUUCAUCAAUCCAAAGAUGGGCGUAAGCAACCUAAGCCUCUUGUGUUGUUUCUGUUCUAGCGCAAUUCAAAUUAUGAUCAUAUUGAAUUAUAAUAUUUAUCAAUUAUUACUAAGUGAACAUUUCAUAGUCUUGGGUGAGCUAUUGUGCAUCUCAAGAUCAUGCUACAUAUUAUCAAAACGUGGAGGCCAGCCUUGUCUUUUGUGUGGUUUGGUGGUCGCAAUCCCUUCGUUGCGUUGUCAUUUUCCCGUAUUAAUAUAUCUACGUCUUAGCAAUUUGAAAGCUCUUUGGUUUAUUUUGUAAAUACUUAGGUUACAUGUGGUCUAGAAGUUCCGUGUUAAUACGUAGUAAUUUAAUUUAGAUAAACGUUGAAGUCAGAUGGCAUUGGUAGUUUUGUUCCAUCACGAACGUUUCUACAUCACUUCGCGUAAGAUCUGCCUGUACAGCUGCAGCCAAGUAGUUCAUGUGCUUCUCGUGUAUCAUACAACACAAUUGCCUUUUAGUGCUCUUCUUACAUGGUAAUUGUUCAUUAAUAUCAAAGUAGUUAACGAGCUACUUGGCAGUGUAUUAAUUUUCCCAUGUUGAUUGAAUUUAGUUUGUAAGUAAAUUUUUACAGUAGUUUCAACAUGCAUAAACUAUAGAGACAACAAAUUCUUUUUCAUUUGCUAGAUAUUGACAAGAAUUCCAUCGCUAGUUUCAAAUUGAAACUUCAUGCGAUUAGCUCGCGUAAAACGUGCUCCCGCUGUAGAUUUAUUUCGUGGCCUAACGUUCAACUGAAUGCUUCAUUUCGCAGUAAAGUUAAAUGUUGCCAGCAAUGUUCAUUAGUACCACUUCUACUCAAGGUUAAAAUUCUCACGAUUCUCUUCACUGAUCUCUCGGCAAACUCGUUACACUGGAUGCGUGGGAGGUCAUUCGUAUUGUGCUUUCUUCAGUCAUGUGCUCUUUGUUUUGAUGGGUUCAUGGCGUUUUUGUAAAUUUAUUUUUGGUGCCACUUAUUUUAUUUACAUUCAAAGUAUGACAGUAGGUCGAGUUGUAUUGAGUAAAUGAGUAAAGAACAGAAUUUGGAAGGAGCCCAUCAUAGCAAGACUGAAGUUUAUCUUUGGCACAGCUCGAAAUUCCUCUCCACAGAAUGCCUCCUUUAGCCCUUCAGCAUUUGACUUCUGUGUAAGACAUCUAACGUUGAUCCUAGAGCUUGCCAAACAACUUGAAAUUGUAUUCAGACUUUAAUACAUAUUUUGUAAGGCGCUGCCCUCAACAAAUGGUCACCGAUUAGACCGCACAAGUCUUUUAGCUCAAUUCUGUGUGAGCGUUGAUUGUGGUUCGUCUAUUUACAGGAGCUGCUUUGACCAUUCAUAUCAGUAGCCUUAUUGAGAGUUACGGUGGUCUGUGAGAAAAUCUUGCUUAGCACUACAUGAGAGAUCCACUCAUCUGAAAUUAUUCUUCCUGCAGAUCUGUGAUGACUUGCUACCGGUAGCGAUGCCCGGUGGGUUUGGCAUUGUCGCUGGCAUUUUACCAGCCUUAACUUAUUGCCCUCACUUAUUAUUAAUAAUUUAACGUAGCAUCUAACAUAGCUGUAAGUUACGUGUGCGUAUAUUGUUUCCUUGCAUUUUUUGAGCAAUGCCGAUGCGUCUCGUCUCGCCUGUAGAUGCUAAUGACGCCAGGGCCCACCGCCAGCUCACAAUUCACCGGCGUUUAUUUUUACAUUGCUCAAGUUUUGACCAAAUCUCACGUAGUGGCGGCUUGCGUUUCUACUUUAGUUUCAGCGUUAUGAAGGUGGCAUAUAACACUUUCUCGUGAUGACUAACUUUUUGCACGAGUUUCGGCCAGUGAUGAAAUGACUAACAACCAGACGGCUUCAAGUUUGAUCACCCCACUAAGCUUUCAGUCGCACUUAUUACGCCUUUGUCGACUGUUAAUUAAUGGUUUCGUUAAGUGCGUGUCUUACUAACAUUAGCUUUUAUGGCUUCCAGUGUUGCGCGCUUCCUUUCUUUGCCCACCGCUUUUCAUUGUUCCGCAUUUCAUUUCCAGAUUUGAUACUAUUUCCCUUCCAGUGGAAAUAGUGAUAUUUACCGUUCAUAGGUCGUAAUUUAUCUGUAAUUGGACGUUUUUCCCUCGGGAAUAUCAUGACAAAAUGUACAGCGGAACACGAUAACUACAAGAUGUCUUUCAUGUUCUUUUUCUGUAUUGGGCUCGACCACAUGGUGCAUGUGUCAACUUUCUGGCGCAUUGUUAUGGAUUUCUGUUGGCCUUGCUGCAUUUAACGAAAAUUUCCUUGUGCUGCACUGCUGUACAUAAGUUGCGUUUCAUGUUCCUUUCCAUCAUUAUCAGUAGUAUUAUUGGAGAGUAUUUCCGUGUGCUUAUUGUAGCUUUUCUUUUGUUCGUUCAAUCACUCAAGUUAGCUGUCAAAAUGCGCGCCUUCUUCCCUCUUCUUGCUCUCCUAUGUACUUAGUCAUUUAUAGACGCCACUGUCUACUGAUCCAGUACCACAGGGUGUAAUCUGACCAUUUUUUUGCUGGAACAUUGAACUUUCAAUUUGGACUCUGCGCAAUUGAUAUCGAUGUAAUUGUUAGACAUUUUUUCAAAGUUUAUGUAGUCGUCUGUCUGAGCCGAGACGAUCGUAUCCAGUUAGCUUGUUCUUUGCAGAGGAAGGUGAAACGAUCAACGGCUGGUGAUCAUUGGAAAAUUUGUUUUAGUUGUUGAAUUCUGUUGUGUACACAUGAGACUGCGAACAAGAUUGUACGUUAAGGAUAGUAUCACAACCUUUUGCACUUUGUUUCUUUUGUACUGUCUGACAGCUUGAAAAAUUUCAGUGUUUUAUAACGUGUAAAAGUACUCUACAGUU